AGUGAACGCUGGCGGUAGGCCUAACACAUGCAAGUCGAACGGCAGCACAGUAAGAGCUUGCUCUUACGGGUGGCGAGUGGCGGACGGGUGAGGAAUACAUCGGAAUCUACUUUUUCGUGGGGGAUAACGUAGGGAAACUUACGCUAAUACCGCAUACGACCUACGGGUGAAAGCAGGGGAUCUUCGGACCUUGCGCGAUUGAAUGAGCCGAUGUCGGAUUAGCUAGUUGGCGGGGUAAAGGCCCACCAAGGCGACGAUCCGUAGCUGGUCUGAGAGGAUGAUCAGCCACACUGGAACUGAGACACGGUCCAGAAUCCUACGGGAGGCAGCAGUGGGGAUUAUUGGACAAUGGGCGCAAGCCUGAUCAAGCCAUACCGCGUGGGUGAAGAAGGCCUUCGGGUUGUAAAGCCCUUUUGUUGGGAAAGAAAAGCAGCAGGUUAAUACCCCGCUGUUCUGACGGUACCCAAAGAAUAAGCACCGGCUAACUUCGUG
rnacentral:rRNA from 1 species